rnacentral:rRNA from 1 species
CACGUUGGAACCUGCCCAAAGUGAGGAAUAAGCCACCGAAAGGUGGUCUAAUACUUCAUAAUAUCCAUCUCGUAUGGAUUAAAGCUUUAUGCGCUUUGGGAGGGGCCUGCGUAACAUUAGCUUGUUGGUGAGGUAAAAGCUCACCAAGGCUUCGAUGUUUAACUGGUUUGAGAGGAUGACCAGUCACACUGGGACUGAGAUACGGCCCAGACUCCUACGGGAGGCAGCAGUAAGGAAUCUUCCACAAUGGGACAACCCUGAUGGAGCAAUACCGCGUGCAGGAUGAAGCGUUUCGGCGUGUAAACUGCUUUUAUCACCGAAGAUUAUGACUGUAGGUGAAGAAUAAGGACCGGCUAACUACGUG